UACAGAGGGGGCAAGCGUUGUUCGGAAUUACUGGGCGUAAAGGGCGCGUAGGCGGCCUGCUAAGUCGAACGUGAAAUCCCUGGGCUCAACCCAGGAACUGCGUCCGAUACUGGUUGGCUUGAAUCCGGGAGAGGGACGUGGAAUUCCAGGUGUAGCGGUGAAAUGCGCAGAUAUCAGGAGGAACACCGGUGGCGAAGGCGGGUCUCUGGGCCGUAACUGACGCUGAGGAGCGAAAGCAUGGGGAGCGAACAGG
rnacentral:rRNA from 1 species